rnacentral:rRNA from 1 species
UACGUAGGGGGCAAGCGUUGUCCGGAAUCAUUGGGCGUAAAGCGCGUGUAGGCGGCUAUGCAAGUCGGGCGUGAAAUCCCACGGCUCAACCGUGGAAGUGCACUCGAAACUGCGUAGCUAGAGUCCCGGAGAGGAAGGUGGAAUACUUGGUGUAGAGGUGAAAUUCGUAGAUAUCAAGUGGAACACCGGUGGCGAAGGCGGCCUUCUGGACGGUGACUGACGCUGAGACGCGAAAGCGUGAGGAGCAAACAGG